rnacentral:rRNA from 1 species
AUACGGAGGAUGCAAGCGUUAUCCGGAUUUAUUGGGUUUAAAGGGUGCGCAGGCGGAAAGAUAAGUCAGUGGUGAAAUCCUGCAGCUUAACUGUAGAAUUGCCGUUGAUACUGUUUUUCUUGAGUGUGGUCAAGGAAGGCGGAAUGUGUAAUGUAGCGGUGAAAUGCUUAGAUAUUACACAGAACACCGAUUGCGAAGGCAGCUUUCUGGGCCGUAACUGACGCUCAUGCACGAAAGCGUGGGGAUC